GCCGGGCGUGGUGGCGGGCGCCUGUAGUCCCAGCUACUCGGGAGGCUGAGGCAGGAGAAUGGCGUGAACCCGGGGAGGCGGAGCUUGCAGUGAGCUGAGAUCCAGCCACUGCACUCCAGCCUGGGCGACAGAGCCAGACUCUGUCUCAA
ensembl:misc_RNA Metazoa_SRP Metazoan signal recognition particle RNA